GUGACAGAGCAAGACUCUGUCUCAAAAAAAAAAAAAAAUUAUAAUGUUUUAAGAAAGUUUCAAAGCUCUCCUGUGCCAUGUACAGCCUGCAAGCCGUGGGUUGGACAAGGUUGAGAUAGUCCAAAUCUCUUCAGACUGUAUUUUACAUAGAGUGGAAGGCAUAGCCCUGGGAGGAAAACCUCACAUGUAUAUUGUUGCCCAUUCCAUGUAAAUGCAAACUUUUUUCUGACUCUUUUUCUUUUUCUGAUUAGGAUAAAAAAGAACACAUUUGCCAAAUCAGUGGUUGUAUAAUAUGUUCCCGAGGCCAAAGUAAUCUGCUGUAGCAAAGAUACUACAUCUUACAUAAUGGCUGUAAUCGGGGCUAUAGUACUUGGUUGAACUCAUGGCAGUCUACAGUCACCUUCCAGGAUCAUCUGGUUUCUAUAAGGAGUAAACCAAUCCUGGUUAUGAACUCAGAGACUGGGAAAUGACCACUGAGUGGCUCCAAGGACCCAAUGGCUGUACUGUAAGCCAGGCCCAAGACAGGAUUUCACUUACAACCUGGCCCCAUGUGCUUCCUGCACUCUAACAAGGAGAGGUUAUGAUGGUGCUUCAGGCCUCGAGCAUCAUUGUCAUCACAGACCCUACAUCCAACAGACCCUGAUAUGUCUAGGUAUUUUUCUUUCCCAGGUGCACAGUUACCCAAAUAAAUGGCCAUUGGUCUUUUUGAGAAA